GACGAACGCUGGCGGCGUGCUUAACACGUGCAAGUCGAACGGAAAGGCCCUGCUUUUGUGGGGUGCUCGAGUGGCGAACGGGUGAGUAACACGUGAGUAACCUGCCCUUGACUUUGGGAUAACUUCAGGAAACUGGGGCUAAUACCGGAUAGGAGCUCCUGCUGCAUGGUGGGGGUUGGAAAGUUUCGGCGGUUGGGGAUGGACUCGCGGCUUAUCAGCUUGUUGGUGGGGUAGUGGCUUACCAAGGCUUUGACGGGUAGCCGGCCUGAGAGGGUGACCGGCCACAUUGGGACUGAGAUACGGCCCAGACUCCUACGGGAGGCAGCAGUGGGGAAUAUUGCACAAUGGGCGGAAGCCUGAUGCAGCAACGCCGCGUGCGGGACGACGGCCUUCGGGUUGUAAACCGCUUUCGCCUGUGACGAAGCGUGAGUGACGGUAAUGGGUAAAGAAGCACCGGCUAACUACGUG
rnacentral:rRNA from 1 species